rnacentral:rRNA from 1 species
GAUGAACGCUGGCGGCGUGCCUAAUACAUGCAAGUCGAGCGAAUGGAUUAAGAGCUUGCUCUUAUGAAGUUAGCGGCGGACGGGUGAGUAACACGUGGGUAACCUGCCCAUAAGACUAGGAUAACUCCGGGAAACCGGGGCUAAUACCGGAUAACAUUUUGAACCGCAUGGUUCGAAAUUGAAAGGCGGCUUCGGCUGUCACUUAUGGAUGGACCCGCGUCGCAUUAGCUAGUUGGUGAGGUAACGGCUCACCAAGGCAACGAUGCGUAGCCGACCUGAGAGGGUGAUCGGCCACACUGGGACUGAGACACGGCCCAGACUCCUACGGGAGGUAGCAGUAGGGAAUCUUCUGCAAUGGACGAAAGUCUGACGGAGCAACGCCGCGUGAGUGAUGAAGGCUUUCGGGUCGUAAAACUCUGUUGUUAGGGAAGAACAAGUGCUAGUUGAAUAAGCUGGCACCUUGACGGUACCUGACCAGAAAGCCACGGCUAACUACGUGCCAGCAGCCGCCGUAA